CCUGUGACGAAAUUCAGUCCUCUUUCUUCUCGCCCUGCUCAUCAAGGACUCCUCCUGUGUGCAGCAGCUCGAUUUUUUGCUUAUUUCUGGCUCUGCAGUCCUGCAUGUAGCACGUGGCUUAUCCCAUCUAGAGCAAGCCAUUGCACAUGGGUUAGAAACAACAUACGGUGCCUGGAUGCAGUGGGACUUGGGACGUUAAUUCCGUAGUGUGCUCCAGCUUUGAGGACUGGCAGGAUGGGGACCAGCUUAAGGGAGGUUGUAAGGAGACUGAUGGAUUUGUCCCCACAUUGCUGUUACCAC